rnacentral:rRNA from 1 species
UACGGAGGGAGCUAGCGUUGUUCGGAAUUACUGGGCGUAAAGCGCACGUAGGCGGCUUUGUAAGUUAGAGGUGAAAGCCCGGGGCUCAACCCCGGAAUAGCCUUUAAGACUGCAUCGCUUGAAUCCGGGAGAGGUGAGUGGAAUUCCGAGUGUAGAGGUGAAAUUCGUAGAUAUUCGGAAGAACACCAGUGGCGAAGGCAGCUCACUGGACCGGUAUUGACGCUGAGGUGCGAAAGCGUGGGGAGCAAACAGG